UUUCUCAGUUGAGUCCCUAUUUUCUCCUUUUUGGGUUCCUGGGAUAGCUAAUAUUUAUUGAGCACUCCGAUAAUCAAUAAUAGCAGUGACUUGAUUUAACUCUUACUCUCCUGUGCUUACCAACCCGCUGAUGCCUGCCUGUCUGCCUCCCUCCUCCAAUACUGUGGCUCCCUGAUGGCAGGGUUUUUUCCUUAUUCCACUUUGUACACUUGCUCCUAGAAUGCCUAGAGCCUAUGGGAUCUUAUGAAAUAUUUGCUAAAUGAACUUUAUUUUCUUGCUUUUACAUACAAGGAUGCUGAAGUUCGUGGAGGUCAAGCAACUUUCCCCAAAUCCAGUAAGAGGUAGAGCUGGGAUGCAAAUAGAGCACCCUGGCUCCUACUAGGCAUCACAUAUUAAUCAUCUUUCAAAUUAAGAGUCAUUGCUUAGCAUCACCAAUAUAUGGGAAAAAGGAGCUAAGAAGCAUCACUGAAUGCAUCCCAAAGUCCUGGCAUUGUUCCCUGAAGCACUUUUCAGUUAUGCCGUUUCAUUUCAUAACAUCCCUACAAAGUAGGCUUUACCACCUUUAUUUUAAAGACGAAGAAUUCAAUGUGACAGUGAGCUACUUAGAUGCACACGAUCCAGUACACAGCUUACUCUGCUUGCCAGAGAUUCUAUAAUGCUAUUCAGCAGCAAGAAAAAGCAAACCUAGCAUUAUACCAAGUGCCUGUGAUGGUGUCCAGUAUCUGAAAUUCUUGUACACUGCUGGUGGGGGUGGAAAUUGGUACAACCACUUUGGAUAACAGUUUGCGCAAUUAAAUAAAAUUGGAGAUUCAGUAUUUUGUGACUUACAAUUCCACCCCUAGAUGUGUUACCUAGAAACUCCUGCACCUACCUAUACAGCAGGAAACCUG
rnacentral:lncRNA from 1 species